rnacentral:rRNA from 1 species
AUUGAACGCUGGCGGCAGGCCUAACACAUGCAAGUCGAGCGGUAGAGAGAAGCUUGCUUCCCUUGAGAGCGGCGGACGGGUGAGUAAUGCCUAGGAAUCUGCCUGGUAGUGGGGGAUAACGUUCGGAAACGGACGCUAAUACCGCAUACGUCCUACGGGAGAAAGCAGGGGACCUUCGGGCCUUGCGCUAUCAGAUGAGCCUAGGUCGGAUUAGCUAGUUGGUGAGGUAAUGGCUCACCAAGGCGACGAUCCGUAACUGGUCUGAGAGGAUGAUCAGUCACACUGGAACUGAGACACGGUCCAGACUCCUACGGGAGGCAGCAGUGGGGAAUAUUGGACAAUGGGCGAAAGCCUGAUCCAGCCAUGCCGCGUGUGUGAAGAAGGUCUUCGGAUUGUAAAGCACUUUAAGUUGGGAGGAAGGGUUGUAGAUUAAUACUCUGCAAUUUUGACGUUACCGACAGAAUAAGCACCGGCUAACUCUGUGCCAGCAGCCGCGGUAAUACAGAGGGUGCAAGCGUUAAUCGGAAUUACUGGGCGUAAAGCGCGCGUAGGUGGUUUGUUAAGUUGGAUGUGAAAUCCCCGGGCUCAACCUGGGAACUGCAUUCAAAACUGACUGACUAGAGUAUGGUAGAGGGUGGUGGAAUUUCCUGUGUAGCGGUGAAAUGCGUAGAUAUAGGAAGGAACACCAGUGGCGAAAGCGACCACCUGGACUAAUACUGACACUGAGGUGCGAAAGCGUGGGGAGCAAACAGG